rnacentral:rRNA from 1 species
UACGGAGGAUGCGAGCGUUAUCCGGAUUUAUUGGGUUUAAAGGGUGCGUAGGCCGGCCGAUGAGUCAGCGGUGAAAUACCAUGGCCCAACCAUGGAACUGCCGUUGAUACUGUCGGUCUUGAAUAUGGUCAAGGUAGGCGGAAUGUGUAAUGUAGCGGUGAAAUGCUUAGAUAUUACACAGAACACCGAUUGCGAAGGCAGCUUACUGGUCCAUUAUUGACGCUGAGGCACGAAAGCGUGGGGAUCGAACAGG